GAGUAGCAAUACUCUCUGAUGGCGACCCGUUAAAGGGUGCGUAACGCGUGAGCAACUUGCCCUCACAGGGGAAUAAUCGCUGGAAACGGCGUCUAAUGCCCCAUGGUGAUGUCCUCAGGCAUCUGAGGUCAUCUAAAGAUCCGUCGGAUGGGGAUAGGCUCGCGUGACAUUAGCUAGACGGCGGGGUAACGGCCCACCGUGGCGACGAUGUCUAGGGGUUCUGAGAGGAAGGUCCCCCACACUGGAACUGAGACACGGUCCAGACUCCUACGGGAGGCAGCAGUGAGGAAUAUUGGUCAAUGGGCGCAAGCCUGAACCAGCCAUGCCGCGUGCAGGAAGACGGCUCUAUGAGUUGUAAACUGCUUUUGUACUAGGGUAAUUUGCGGUACGUGUACCGUACUGAAAGUAUAGUACGAAUAAGGAUCGGCUAACUCCGUGCCAGCAGCCGCGGUAAUACGGAGGAUCCAAGCGUUAUCCGGAUUUAUUGGGUUUAAAGGG
rnacentral:rRNA from 1 species